AACCCAGCCGUUGAUUCUGCUUACUUGAAUCUGUUUCUGCAGAAAUUUAGAAAAAGCUGGCAAUAACAGUAAAGCCAUGUUAUGAGCCCUAAGGAUAAUUGAGAUCAUUGGGGUCCCUGAAAGUAGCUACAUUA
rnacentral:snoRNA from 1 species